rnacentral:rRNA from 1 species
UACGUAGGGCGCAAGCGUGGUCCGGAAUUAUUGGGCGUAAAGGGCUCGUAGGCGGUUUGUCGCGUCGGGAGUGAAAACACGGGGCUUAACCCCGUGCCUGCUUCCGAUACGGGCAGACUAGAGGUAUGCAGGGGAGAACGGAAUUCCUGGUGUAGCGGUGAAAUGCGCAGAUAUCAGGAGGAACACCGGUGGCGAAGGCGGUUCUCUGGGCAUUACCUGACGCUGAGGAGCGAAAGUGUGGGGAGCGAACAGG